AACGAACGCUGGCGGCGUGCUAACACAUGCAAGUCGAAACGGCGAAAGGGGAACUUCGGUCCUGAGUAAAGUGGCGGCACGGGUGAGUAACGCGUAGAUAACCUGUCUUCAUGUCUGGAAUAAUACGCCGAAAGGGGUACUAAUACCGGAUAUCUUGCUUUUCAUAAGUUAUGCAAGCAAAGGUGGCCUCUGCAUAUGCUACUGCAUGAAGAGGGGUCUGCGUACCAUUAGCUAGUAGGUGGGGUAAUGGCCUACCUAGGCGACGAUGGUUGGCGGGUCUGAGAGGAUGAUCCGCCACACUGGCACUGGAACACGGGCCAGACUCCUACGGGAGGCAGCAGUGAGGAAUAUUGCGCAAUGGGGGAAACCCUGACGCAGCGACGCCGCGUGAGUUGAGGAAGGCCUUCGGGUCGUAAAGCUCUGUCAAGAGGAAAGAAGUGUACAAUGGCUAAUACCUGUUGUAUUUGACGGUACCUCUAAAGGAAGCACCGGCUAACUCCGUGCCAGCCGCCGC
rnacentral:rRNA from 1 species